UGAAAGCCUAUAUGUGUCAGCCCUGCAAUCGACUGGCAGCCUGUCUGAGGUGUACUCUGCCUCUUGCCCAAUGUCCGGUGGGAUAGGCUCCAGCACCCACAUGGCACUUAA